GUACUGCUGAAGAGACCCAAACUAGGACGAAACAGUUGUCCAGUAC
rfam:Trichobilharzia regenti genome assembly, scaffold: TRE_scaffold0005928